rnacentral:rRNA from 1 species
UACAGAGGUCUCAAGCGUUGUUCGGAUUCAUUGGGCGUAAAGGGUGCGUAGGCGGCGGGUCAAGUCGAGUGUGAAAGCCCCGGGCUCAACCUGGGAGGUGCGCUCGAGACUGGUCUGCUAGAGUUCGGGAGAGGAGCGUGGAAUUCCCAGUGUAGAGGUGAAAUUCGUAGAUAUUGGGAAGAACACCGGUGGCGAAGGCGGCGCUCUGGACCGAGACUGACGCUGAGGCGCGAAAGCGUGGGGAGCAAACAGG